UGCGAACGAAGUACUGAAGAUGGAAAUGCCUAGCACCCCACAGCAGUUGCAAAACCUAACAGAAGACAUCCGGGAACGAGUUGAAACCCUUUCCCAAGUAGAAGUUAUUUUGCAGCAGAGUGCUGCUGACAUUGCCAGAGCUGAGCUGUUGCUGGAAGAAGCUAAGAGACAGCAAAAGUGCAACAGAUGUUAAGGUCACUGCAGACAUGGUAAAGGAGGCGUUGGAAGAAGCAGAAAAGGCCCAGGUUGCAGCAGAGAAGGCGAUUAAACAAGCUGAUGAGGAUAUCCAGGGGACCCAGAACCUGCUAACAUCGACUCUAGAUGGCGAACUUGAUGAAAAAUAUAAGAAGGUAGAGAGUUUAAUUGCCCAAAAAACUGAAGAGUCAGCAGAUGCCAGGAGGAAAGCUGAGCUGCUACAAAAUGAAGCAAAAACACUCCUGGCCCAAGCCAACAGCAAACUUCAGCUGUUAGAAGACUUAGAAAGGAAGUAUGAGGACAAUCAAAAGUACUUAGAAGAUAAAGCUCAAGAACUGGUGCGACUGGAAGGAGAGGUGCGCUCACUCCUUAAGGACAUAAGUGAGAAAGUUGCCGUUUACAGCACCUGCUUAUAACAGAGGAUGGGGCUGUAGGGUGGCUCAG
rnacentral:lncRNA from 1 species